UCCGGUUUGUCACCGGCAGUCUCCUUAGAGUUCCCGCCAUUACGCGCUGGCAACUAAGGACAAGGGUUGCGCUCGUUACGGGACUUAACCCAACAUCUCACGACACGAGCUGACGACAGCCAUGCAGCACCUGUCUCAGAGCUCCCGAAGGCACCAAUCCAUCUCUGGAAAGUUCUCUGGAUGUCAAGACCUGGUAAGGUUCUUCGCGUUGCGUCGAAUUAAACCACAUGCUCCACCGCUUGUGCGGGCCCCCGUCAAUUCAUUUGAGUUUUAAUCUUGCGACCGUACUCCCCAGGCGGUCUACUUAGUGCGUUAGCUGCGCCACUAAGAGCUCAAGGCUCCCAACGGCUAGUAGACAUCGUUUACGGCGUGGACUAC
rnacentral:misc_RNA from 1 species